rnacentral:rRNA from 1 species
GGUGAACGCUGGCGGCGUGCCUAAUACAUGCGAGUCGAGCGAACAGACGAGGAGCUUGCUCCUCUGACGUUAGCGGCGGACGGGUGAGUAACACGUGGAUAACCUACCUAUAAGACUGGGAUAACUUCGGGAAACCGGAGCUAAUACCGGAUAAUAUAUUGAACCGCAUGGUUCAAUAGUGAAAGACGGUUUUGCUGUCACUUAUAGAUGGAUCCGCGCCGCAUUAGCUAGUUGGUAAGGUAACGGCUUACCAAGGCAACGAUGCGUAGCCGACCUGAGAGGGUGAUCGGCCACACUGGAACUGAGACACGGUCCAGACUCCUACGGGAGGCAGCAGUAGGGAAUCUUCCGCAAUGGGCGAAAGCUUGACGGAGCAACGCCGCGUGAGUGAUGAAGGUCUUCGGAUCGUAAAACUCUGUUAUUAGGGAAGAACAAAUGUGUAAGUAACUAUGCACGUCUUGACGGUACCUAAUCAGAAAGCCACGGCUAACUACGUG